rnacentral:lncRNA from 1 species
CGCUUCAUUCCUCUUUACUUGGGAAACGUAUCUUUAAGCGUACACCAUGUUGGAAUCCGUGAAAAACGCGAAAUAGGACGUUAUAACUUGACGUUUUUUCAUUGCUAGAAACAACGUCAUAGAGCUUUAAUGUCACUACCAAGUUGCGUUAGUUGAUGCGCAUAAACAAUAGGCUGUUUGGUAUUUAAAGCCGUUAUUGUAACGGAAAGAUGACUUUGUCAGGUGUACUUUCUGGAACUGUGAUCAGAUGAUUUAAACCUAUUUAAACUGUUAAUUUUCUCCAUGACAGCCUAUGUGUACAUUUUGCAAUUAAG